GAGUUGGGAGGAACCUUGAAAGAUCAUCCAGUCCAACCCCCCUGCCAGAGCAGGAUCACCUAGACUAGGUCACACAGGAACAUGUCCAGGCGGGUUUUGAAUGUCUCCAGAGAAGGAGACUCCACAACCUCUCUGGGCAGCCUGUUCCAGUGCUCUGUCACCCUCACAGUGAAAAAGUUUUUUCUUAUGCAGGGUGAAGCCAGAGGAAACUCUGGUGGAGGUCCAUAGCGGUCCUGGUAUGCAAAUUGGUUGUCCAACCCAGGUCUAGGGGUGAAAAACUAAUCAAACCAUCUAGUAGCUGCUUCUCUCCGAAUUUUCCCUCAGGAUAGCUGGCACUUGGCAAUGGGCAGUUUUACCCGGUAAAGCGAAUGAUUAGAGGUCUGGGGGCCAAAACAAUCUCAACCUACUUUCAAACAGUCAUGCUUUCCUUACCCUAGGAUUCACAGACUUUUUUAGAGGAGCAAAUUUAUCUUCACAGCCUGGUGAUACUGGGACUUAGCCAGGCAGAUCCAAGUCCCUCCAGAGGGUGUAUGGCUCUGCACCUUUCAUCUGGAUAGACACAGUAAUCUGCAUUUGAGAUGAAGCCAUUACAACAUCUUCUGUGGAUGCAUGCCCGUGUGGAACGUAAAAGUUCCAGUCUGUGUAGAGAAAUUCAGAUUUUAAUGGAGUAGGG
rnacentral:ncRNA from 1 species